rnacentral:rRNA from 1 species
AGCGGAGGAAAAGAAACCAACAGGGAUUGCCCUAGUAACGGCGAGUGAAGCGGCAAUAGCUCAAAUUUGAAAGCUGGCCUCUGGUCCGCAUUGUAAUUUGUAGAGGAUGCUUUUAGGCAGCCGCCGGUCUAAGUUCCUUGGAACAGGACGUCAUAGAGGGUGAGAAUCCCGUAUGUGACCGGCUCAGGCACCUUCUGUAAAGCUCCUUCGACGAGUCGAGUUGUUUGGGAAUGCAGCUCUAAAUGGGAGGUAAAUUUCUUCUAAAGCUAAAUACUGGCGAGAGACCGAUAGCGCACAAGUAGAGUGAUCGAAAGAUGAAAAGCACUUUGGAAAGAGAGUUAAAAAGCACGUGAAAUUGUUGAAAGGGAAGCGCUUGCAAUCAGACUUGGCUUAGAUUGUUCAACCGGUCUUCUGACCGGCCUAUUCAUUCUGAGCCAGGCCAGCAUCAGUUUCGGCGGCCGGAUAAAGGCCUUGGGAAUGUGGCCCUCCCUUCGGGGUGGGUGUUAUAGCCCAGGGUGUAAUACGGCCAGCCGGGACUGAGGUCCGCGA